AACGCACAUUGCGCCCCUUGGUAUUCCAUGGGGCAUGCCUGUUCGAGCGUCAUUUGUACCUUCAAGCUUUGCUUGGUGUUGGGCGUUUUGUCUUUCCUCUUGUGAUUAGACUCGCCUUAAAGUCAUUGGCAGCCAGUGUUUUUGGUAGUAAGCGCAGCACAUUUUGCGUCUUAGUCCUUAAAUAGUGGCAUCCAUAUAGCUACUUUUUCACUUUUGACCUCGGAUCAGGUAGGGAUACCCGCUGAACUUAA
rnacentral:misc_RNA from 1 species